UGUCCCAUGACAGACACACCCGCUCUAUCACAAAUAUUGAGUGACUCCCUGAGCAGUAGCAAUAAAGGAUUCCCCAAAGGGGGAAUACCUGAGCAGGCCAAACCCAGGACAAUAACCUUAUAACAGAAAGUGCUACGGAUGUUUUAGUGACCACAGAUAGUAAGGACUUCAGUUUUAACCAGAUGGUAGUAAGAAGGCACCUCCCAGCACCAUACCAAGACUGAAUGAAAUAGAAAUUCUGCUCUUGGAAUUGAGCUGACAAUAUUGUUGCACAAGACUGAAGAGAGAGUGUGUGUGUGUGUAUACGUACUGUGCUGGCUGUGUGGAGCCACAAGGAAUUUAAAACAUAUUGAAUCAUUAUGAAACUCAUCUUAUGUUACUGAGCAGUUGUGAUUCCAAGACACACAAUGAACAGAAAUGCCAAAUAAGGAAGGGCCAUUAUUUUGCAAAGUCAUUUUGCUGGCUGUAACCACAUUUGAA